CGGAAAGGCCACGAAUAGGGUUCGAGCAACAUGCCCUGAAAAUAGCCGUUGCGGAUAGAUUUUCAAAAUCCCAGAGGAUCUCUAAGCCAAGAUGAUCUCCCAAUUUUGAAAGUAGCCGUUGCUGCUGAUCGAGAAUUCAAAAUUCAAUAUUCCAGACACUCCGAAGCCAAAACCACUAACGGUAUAAAAUUUCCCUAAUUUUUCAUUCUCUCUCCAAUUCUUUCGCUCAGUUUCAAAAUUCCAGAUGUUCCCAAGCAAAAAUAAUCUUCCAAUUUUGAAACUAGCCGUUGCUGCUGAUCGAAUUUCAAAUUUCAAAAUCUAGACGCUCCUAUUGUCCCAAAAAAAAAAAAAAAAAAAAAGAUCCAUAUGCUCCUAAGCCGAAAACCAAUUAUGGUAGUAUAAAAUUUCCCAAAUGUUUCAUUUUCUGUCCAAUUCUCCAGUUUCAUCCCCCAUUCCCUCUCUCAUUUGUUUUUUUUUUUUCCUCCGUUUGCCGAAGUUUUUCGGAGUUCGAUGCAGAGGUUCGUUUGGGCCAUUCAACAUCCUGCAAGCGGAUAUUUUCUGGUAAUCAAUGAUCUUGUUACACCAUUUUUCUCUGUGUUUAGAGGAUGAUUCAACAGAUUUCUUCAGAAACUACAAACUCUUUGCCACUAGGAAAUGGGGAGUGGGACUUGGAGAGGUUGAACUGCAUCUUUGACCAAGAUUCGGUGAGAAGUAUCUUUGCCACACUAGGCCCACUAAAUUGUCAGUGAAAGGAUACAUAUGUAAUCGAGCAUAUUCUGAUUUUAUGAAGUGCAAAUGACCAAUUUGCUUUGAUUAGAUG